AGCUGCCUACGGGGAGCAGCAGUAGGGAAUCUUCCACAAUGGGCGAAAGCCUGAUGGAGCAACGCCGCGUGGGUGAAGAAGGUCUUCGGAUCGUAAAACCCUGUUGUUAGAGAAGAAAGUGCGUGAGAGUAACUGUUCACGUUUCGACGGUAUCUAACCAGAAAGCCACGGCUAACUACGUGCCAGCAGCCGCGGUAAUACGUAGGUGGCAAGCGUUAUCCGGAUUUAUUGAGCGUAAAGGGAACGCAGGCGGUCUUUUAAGUCUGAUGUGAUAGUCCUC
rnacentral:rRNA from 1 species